GAAACCCCAAUACUCUGAAUAAUAGGAUUCCUAUUCCUAUUCACAGUAGGAGGUCU
rnacentral:tRNA from 1 species